rnacentral:snRNA from 1 species
AUACUUACCUGGCAGGGGAGAUACCAUGAUCAUGAAGGUGGUUUUCUCAGGUUGAGGCUUAUCCAUUGCACUCUGGAUGUGCUGACUCCUGUGAUUUCCCCCAAAUGUGGGAAACUCUACCGCAUACUUUGGUGUAGUGGGGGACUGCGUUCACUCUCUCACCUG